ACUCACGUGUCACGGAGUCACAGGGUCACAGUCACGGGGGUCACAGAGCCAGCGGGGUCACGGAGCCAGCGGAGUCAUGGGGUCACGGAGUCACAGGGGUCAUGGAGCCAGCAGGGUCACAGAGUCACGGGGGUCACAGUCAUGAGGUCACAGAGCCAGCGGGGUCACAGAGUCAUGGAAGGGCGUGGCCAGGGCCUAGGAUGGGGUGGGGAGAGGGUUCCCCCAACAAACAGACGCUCAGGUCAGGCCUAGUAUCCAGAGGACACUCAGGGAGGAGUCCGGCAUGGCUCCGGCGUGCGCCACCAGGACACGGCACGAGGGAUUUUAGGGGAACCUUGGACUCCUAGAGAAGAGGUACGUUUGAGAUGAGUAGAAGGAAAGGCUGUUCCACACGGCGGACGGCAAGUCUGCAGAAGGCGCCCGUAGGAGCCAUUCGAAAUGGGACCUGCUCUCCCGAGGGGCCUGUGCUCCCCCGGGCCAGACUCUGGCCUGGAACAGCUGCUGAGACCAGGGCUGGUGUAGACGGCGAGCGGGCUCGUCAGGCCCCGGGAGCCCCGCUGACUGCCGCCCGGACGCAUCCCCAGGGCCUCAGACUCCUGUGAGGAAUUUGUUAAAAGGAGAAGCUCUGGUGCCACCUGCUGCUUUCAGCCUGCAGCUGGCUCCUCUCGGGCCCCUACAGGGACAGCCUGGAAGCCAGGCUCCACCCAGAGACCAGAGGGAGGAAGCUCAGGCCCCCACGAGAUGGCCCCCCUGGAGCCCAGGGGAAGAGCACAGAGGUAUCGCAGCGCCAAAUGGCGAAUCCAGCCCCGACUCCAACAGGGACAGACGCUACUCAAAGUGUUCUGGCGGCAGGUGGAACCGGCCCCAUCGUUCCCCGGGACUCACCCUUAAUUCAUCACAAAAGGAGCGACUUCAGGAUGGGGUAUCAGUGCUCCCCGCAGAGCUCCCGGGGCCUCCUCGCAUCACCCCACAUCUGCCUGGCCCGGAGGGUGGGGCGUCCUGAAGAAGGUUCCAGAAGCAAGGCCAGCUACCCCCCUGCCCCGCGGCUGCACUGUCUGAGCCCGCCUGAACCGCCGAGGUCACUGCUGCAGGAGCCCGUGUCCUGGACUCGACGGGCCACCCUGCCCCUCACCGCCCCCCCCAGGGUUGGCCGGGAACCAGGAGCUGCUUCCCCAGGCACAGGGGGAGCCUCUGCAGGAGGCUGAGCGCCCCUCUGCCCCCAUCCCCCGGGCGCACAAAGCCACGUGGCAUUUUCACAUUAUGCCUUUAUUUCUGCAGCCGGCGGGGGUGGGGGGGCACCCCGGGGACCCAGACCCAGCUCAGAGCAACCAACAGCGGGGCGGCUGCCUCAAACCCGCGAGCAGACGCAGACUCCCACGCGGGAAAGUCAUCUGUUUUACCCAAAUAGACGGACCCACGUCCACCGAACCCGACCUGCGAACCACUGAGAGGACGAGCACCUGGUUCAGGUGUCGGAUCCGGGCAGUGAGGUCAGAGGUCACCACGCGGUUGCAAUCACAUCUGAAGACACGUGUCGUGGGGACCCCUUGGCAGAGGCCGGCCCGGGCCUGGGGUCACCCCGCGAUCGGAGGUUGUGGCCCAGAUGCACCCGGGGCCCCGCGGGGCUCACGUGAAGCCGUGGUGGCGUCUGCUCCGGGGAGAGCCCCCGCUGCCAGGUGGGGGACCCCGCCCCACCACCACGCGCCAGCCCCUCGCCACCCCUCGGCUGGGCCUCUGCUGACGGGCAGGAAACCCCGAGGUGCCACUUCCCCUGCGGUGUGGGAAGAGCUCCGUGCGGAACCCACCAUUGCGGGGCCGUGUCACCGGGCCUGAGCCCCGGAAGCUGCCCUUUUGCCUUUUUCUGGAUUAAAGUGAGUCCACACCCGCGGCCCCCGUCAGCUGGUGCUGGACACCGGGAAGCAGGGCGAGCUCCCGGGGUGGUCACUGGGGGCGGGGGUGGACGGCGCUGUGCCCCCGGGGCAGAGCCGCCCUGUCAGGUCCCAGCUCCUCCUGUCGCCUCCCCUCAUCCGCCCGGAGGGGCUUUAUUUUCUUGGGACUGUUGGACGAACGUGCGUCUCAACCUGUCACCUCCCAACCUGCUCUUGGAGCAGGAGGAGGGGAUGCGCAUGGAUACCCCACACGAGGCGUGACUGGUUCAGCGGGUUGAGCAGGUUUCAGGUCGGGCUCCUCUCCCCACUCCUCUCCCCGCCCAACAUCUUUCCCGUAAAUUCCUCAUAAACUGGUUCUUUCCUCCCCGGAAAUGCCGCCUCCUCCCUGCGUCCAGCAGACCGGCCGCGGGGGGCGGAGGGAAGGGGGGGACUGGCCCCAGGUCGCAACCCACGUCGCGAUCGAGAGCAACGGGCUGCGGAGGGAAGGCGGCCGGGAUGCGCCUGCCCAGGGUGCGAGGGAGGGCAACACUCCGAGGCGCGGUGCGUCCCAAUGGGACGUGCAUUUUAUCCAUAAACCUCAAAGACAUGAAGACAGUUAUGCUCACGGGUCAGGUUCGAGCUGCAGCCUCUUAAGUGCAGGAGACACAACUUUUGUCCCGGGCGAUCUCCCGGGCCUCACGGGUCGUGUGAAAGCAGUUGAGUCUGAGAACGAUUUGGUGAAAAGGACCUCGAGCAAAGGCGAUGGGGGCCGAGCGGGGGGCCGGGGCACGCCAGCAAGGAGGUGGCUGCGGAAGCUCUUACCCGAAAUCCCAAUCCACCCGCGUCCCCGGGGAUGCCCCCGGAAACCACAGGCGGUCGGGAUCCUGCUGUCAAGCAGCUGCGGGUCCGCGCGGUGCACACUUCCUGGCAGCCCCUCGCCCGCAUCGGUGAGAAUCAUACCGAGCAUGCGCGGAAGGUCGCCUGAAUUCCCUGGUCAGUGCCCCGGGUGCCCCGCGUGCCCUGCGUGCCCCGGGGACGAUGUGGAAGCCACGGCAAGCCUCCGACCUCAAAAUAACUGGCGGUAUUCUGGGCAGCGCUUUAUCUUGCGUGAGACCUGGUUCCUACGCUUCGUGGAAAUUAUUAUCCGGGUAGAUGGAUGAUAAGGCGGCGUUUAGAGACGCCCAAAACCACGACACGUGUGGUUUUCAGCAAGGUCCGUAGGCCAGACUUCAAGUAGAACGGGGGUGCCCUACGAUUCUCUCUGGUUUUUCCAGAAUGCUGUGGGAGGAAUUGGCCAGGGCUUUUUCCAACAGAAACUCAGGGUUGGGGUUCCCUGGGCGGCUUAGUGGUUGAGCACCUGCCUUCGGCCCAGGACGUGACCCCGGGGUCCUGGGAUCGAGUCCCUCGUCGGGCUCCCUGCAUGGAGCCUGCUUCUCCCUCCGCCUGUGUCUCUGCCUCUCUC